rnacentral:lncRNA from 1 species
GCCGCCUCUCGCGCCUCCAGGUCAUCCACCACGUCAUCGACUACAUCUGCGACCUGCAGCACGCGCUGCUGCGCCACCCCGCCGUCGCCGCCUCCGCCCACGCCGCCCACGUGCCCUGCGCGCCGCCCACGCCCCCGGCCACCCCCGUCUCGGAGGACCGGCUCGAAGACGACGAGGACCUCUGCGCGACCUGCAGUCGACAGAGUUCGUGCACCGAGGAGGAGAUGGGCCCCGAGAGUUAGCACAGUGUGACGCAAAGCGCGUCCUGCGUCCUGCCGCGGCAGGACUGCUGACGUCACCUGUGACGUCGCCAGCUGCACUCGCCGUCCUCGCCCUUAGCACUGCCCGUGUGGCUUACAGUAGAGGCUGUGACUAAUCUGGAACUCCAGGACCGGUCUCCAGUUCCCUCGCCACUUCUCCAGGACGAGUACACCCAUCAGCAAUGGUUGUCGUCACAUCCUAGAAAUACCGUGCUUUACUCGUACAGUCAAUUUGAAAUCUUAUUUGGUUAGCUAUCUAAGUUUCCCCUCUUCAACGAAAAAAACUAAAAGGUAUCAUUGUUGACUCCGUUAUAAGUUACUAUGUUAACUUCUUUUAUUCUCUUAUUAUGCACACUGCCUCCACUGUAAUUCACUCCAAUUUUAAUAUUUGUUGGAAAUGUCUUUCGAAAUAUUUUGUUGAUCCCGUCACUGCAGCAACCAAUAUCUACAUGCAAAUACGAAAUUCCUGGUUUUUAGUGUAAUUUGAAAAUUAAUUUCAGUGUUAUCAACGAGUUCCAUCAAACGUGAUAGCAAACUGCAUACUACUUUUUAUAGGUUACAUAUUUUGAAGUUACUGAGGAAAUCUUUUUUUCCCAUUGGAGAAUCAGUGUGCUUCUGAAAAAUUCAUGGGAAUUAAGUCUAAGGAUUUUUUUUUUUUGCACAAGUAGAUAUUCUUGGUAUACAUUUUCUGGCUUAAGUACCACAACAUCAUCUGAUCGAGUGUUAGUAUGACACAGUUCACAAUGGAAUGAAGUGACCAAAAAUUAUCUUGUUUCUGUGACCAAACUGCCUGUAAUCUAUUACAUAAUUACUGGGUUGACUGAACAUUGCUAUUGUUAUUUGUGUAAAUUUGUGCCUCUUUGCUAUUAGGAGAACAUGGAUACAGUGCUAACUUGAACAUUAAUAGAAGGUAUGAAUUCAGCUUAGCUAAUGAAGAGUAAUUUUGCGGAAUUUGUAACAUGUGCCAAGUACAUCCCUUGGGAGGUAAUGUUACUGACAGAAAUUCUAUGACUAAUUGAACUGUGUUAUAGAACUGUAGAAAUGACAGCAUGUAAACAUGUACUGCUGUUCGGUUUUUUAAAUGAAAAAUAAAAUGAAAAGCAGAUUACAGCAUUACAUGUCGUUUCUACAGUUUAUAAACGUUAUGAAACACAGUCAACCAAAAAUAUUCUAAUUUGUCAGUGUUUGUCAGUUACUCUUACAUUUUAAAUUCGAGUUACAGCGUAAUUUUCCAAAACAGCUCACAUAAUUCCCUCUCCAGUGUCACUAAUGCUAUUAUAAAAAGUUAAAGUGAGGAAACAGAUAAUUGUAUAUUAUGUGAGAGUUAAAAUAUUUGCUGGGAAUGGCUUAUUAGAAGUGAAGAAUCAACAAUAGUACAACUGGGUAGCUAUUCGCUACUUAACUAUAGUCUCCAUGAAUCACUAUACAUGUGGCAGGUAACGAAAGACUUAUGCUUGAUGUGAAUGAAAAAGAACACUACCUUUUAUUUUACUGUGAAAUUUUCAAAUCUCUUCAGGUGACUAGGGCAAUUAAUGCACCUAGGAAAAGGAAACCAUUAGGAGUACAUCAUAGCAGAGAUACAAGAAGAAGACUAUUAUUUAUAAUUUUUGUGUAUAUAAUGAAAUUUAUAAAAAUAUGUAAAAUGAUAGAUAGAGCAUUGUAUAUUAAGACAGAUAUAGAAAGCAAUAUAAUGUAUUUUAUGGGAUAACAAAUAAAGCUUAAACAAUGAAAAUCUUCA